GACGAACCGUGCAAACGUUAUUCGGAAUCACUGGGCAUAAAGGGCGCGUAGGCGGCUCCAAAAGUCAGGGGUGAAAUCCGGCAGCUUAACUGUCGCAGUGCCUUUGAUACUGUGGAGCUAGAGGGAGGUAGGGGUCUGUGGAACUUCCGGUGGAGCGGUGAAAUGCGCAGAUAUCAGGAGGAACACCGAUGGCGAAGGCAGUGAUCUGGGCCGGUACUGACGCUGAGGAGCGAAAGCGUGGGUAGCAAACAGG
rnacentral:rRNA from 1 species